rnacentral:rRNA from 1 species
CCCUAGGGGGGGCCUAAUAAUGCAAGUCGAACGCACUCUCGUUUAGAUUGAAGGAGCUUGCUCCUGAUUGAUAAACAUUUGAGUGAGUGGCGGACGGGUGAGUAACACGUGGGUAACCUGCCCUAAAGUGGGGGAUAACAUUUGGAAACAGAUGCUAAUACCGCAUAAAACCUAACACCGCAUGGUGUAGGGUUGAAAGAUGGUUUCGGCUAUCACUUUAGGAUGGACCCGCGGUGCAUUAGUUAGUUGGUGAGGUAAAGGCUCACCAAGACCGUGAUGCAUAGCCGACCUGAGAGGGUAAUCGGCCACACUGGGACUGAGACACGGCCCAGACUCCUACGGGAGGCAGCAGUAGGGAAUCUUCCACAAUGGACGAAAGUCUGAUGGAGCAACGCCGCGUGAGUGAAGAAGGUUUUCGGAUCGUAAAACUCUGUUGUUGGAGAAGAAUGUAUCUGAUAGUAACUGAUCAGGUAGUGACGGUAUCCAACCAGAAAGCCACGGCUAACUACGUGCCAGCAGCCGCGGUAAUACGUAGGUGGCAAGCGUUGUCCGGAUUUAUUGGGCGUAAAGCGAGCGCAGGCGGUUUCUUAAGUCUGAUGUGAAAGCCUUCGGCUCAACCGAAGAAGUGCAUCGGAAACUGGGAAACUUGAGUGCAGAAGAGGACAGUGGAACUCCAUGUGUAGCGGUGAAAUGCGUAGAUAUAUGGAAGAACACCAGUGGCGAAGGCGGCUGUCUGGUCUGUAACUGACGCUGAGGCUCGAAAGCAUGGGUAGCAAACAGGAUUAGAUACCCUGGUAGUCCAUGCCGUAAACGAUGAGUGCUAGGUGUUGGAGGGUUUCCGCUCUUCAGUGCCGCAGCUAACGCAUUAAGCACUCCGCCUGGAGAGUACGACCGCAAGGUUGAAACUCAAAGGAAUUGACGGGGGCCCGCACAAGCGGUGGAGCAUGUGGUUUAAUUCGAAGCAACGCGAAGAACCUUACCAGGUCUUGACAUCCUUUGACCACUCUAGAGAUAGAGCUUUCCCUUCGGGGACAAAGUGACAGGUGGUGCAUGGUUGUCGUCAGCUCGUGUCGUGAGAUGUUGGGUUAAGUCCCGCAACGAGCGCAACCCUUAUUACUAGUUGCCAGCAUUUAGUUGGGCACUCUAAUGAGACUGCCGGUGACAAACCGGAGGAGGUGGGGACGACGUCAAUCAUC